UCACCUGUCGCAGUCUGAUCAGCUAUGCCGCGUGCAGUGAUGACGGCCCUAUGGGUUGUAAACUGCUUUUAUACGGGAAGAAAUGACCCACGUGUCGGAGAUUGACCGUACUGUACCAAUAAGGAUCGGCUAACUCCGUGCCAGCAGCCGCGGUAAUACGGAGGAUCCGAGCGUUAUCCGGAAUCAUUGGGUUUAAAGGGUCCGUAGGCGGUUUUUUAAGUCACAGGUGAAAUCCUGCAGCUCAACUGUAAAAUUGCCUUUGAUACUGAGAGACUUGAGUUAUUGUGAAGUGGUUAAAAUGUGUGGUGUAUCGGUGAAAUGCAUAUAUAUCACGCAGAAUACCGAUUGCGAACGCAGAUCACUAACCGUAUACUGACGCUGAGGGACGAAAGCGUGGGUAGCGAACAGGAUUACAUACCCUGGUAGUCCACGCCGUAAACGAUGGAUACUAUCUGUUGGUCUACUUCCGGAUUAUGUAUUCCCCCUGGAAAGUGCUAACUCACCCAUCUGGGGAAUACGAAUUGACGGUUGAAAAUUGAAGGAAUUGACGGG
rnacentral:rRNA from 1 species